rnacentral:tRNA from 1 species
GGGCCUGUAGCUCAGCUAGGUAGAGCGACGGGCUCUUAACCCGUUGGUCGGGGGUUCAAGUCCCCCCAGGCCCGCCA